AAAUAUAUAUAAUAUAUGAAAAUAUAUAAUAGAUAAAUAUAUAUAAUAUAUAAAUAUAUAUAAAAUAUAAAUAUGUCGAAGUAUGCUCGUCUUCCAUUAGAGCGUAGCGCGUUUCGAUGUUUUCGCAGGCGAUAACUCAAGAAUACUGAUCUGCUCGUUUUUCUAACUGCCCCGCAAUUACCUCGAACCACACUCGUCGACAACGUCGCGUCGCAUUGUCGUGCAACUGGAGAGGCGACGCAUGGUUGACGCCCCGCCCCAAUGCACCGGUGGCAAUCAAAUGCAAGUUCAUUAUUUGGUCUGAACAGAAUUUAUGCAACUCUCACUGUCUAAUUUAAGGCUAUGACUAAGAUAGACAUACUUGGUAAAAGCGUCUACUUGAACAAUUACGUACUCCUUCUAGUCACUCUUGCCACUUUAUUUCCCUGUUAUAUCGAUGUGGAUAGUGUGCCGAGGAAUAUUGACUUUUGGGAUUGGAUGCAAUUCGGCCUGAAUUUAUCCUGAGUUUCAUUUGGACAUUUUGCAUGUCAACAAAUUUUCUAACAUAUUUUGACAUAUUGUCAAACCAAUAAAAAUCGUAAACUUUACCUAAUUUCCACCCUAAAUGCAUUAUCGACUCAUGUACUUGAUUUAUAACAGACCACGUGAAGGAACGCGGCACCACUGGUAGUCAGCGUGUUCUGUCAUUUCUCUGUAUUUUUCGGUAAAGAACUUCUACCCUUAGUGUUCAUAGGCUUCUGCAAUAUCUUCAGCAAGAAAAAAAUCAUUUAAUUUGCUCACGAUUUUAGCUAUGUCCGAGUCUCGACGCUGUUCAGCAAUGAGCCAGUUGCUUGAAAUUUCUCUUCUCUUCAAUCCACUUUACAGCAGAAAUAGACUUUGGUAAGAUAGGAUUUCUGGAAAAAAAGUCAACAUGUCAAUUCCCUUCUUUAUAAUGAAUUUCAAAUGUAAAUGAUUGCAAAUAAGCCCACCAACGUUGGGCUCUAGGGGUCAAAUCUUGUUUAUUUCUUGACGCCUUUAGUGAGUUACAGUCAGUAACGAUAGUAAAGUUCCUGCCCAACAAAUAAUGCAGAAAAUAUUUAAUGGAGUUUACAACAGCUAAUGUUUCCAGCUCGUACGAGUGGUAUCUUGACUUUGCAGGGGAAGUAGUUUUCUAUAGUAUUCUAAUACCUGGGUCUUGUAAUUAAUUUUAUGUAAGAAAAUUGCACAAUAGCCACUACAACCUGCAUCCGUAUGCAACUCAAUUGGAUAUUUUGGGUCAAAAAUAACAAGGAAAUUAUAGCAUAAAUAUUAAACCAAUGUUUUCUAGAAGGAACACUUUCUUGUAAUGUUGAAUGAAAACCCGGCCUCUGUCAGAUUAUUAACGCCUCACAUUGUCUUGACGCAGUUAUCAUGAUGCCGUCCAAAUAGACUAUAACAUUAGAAUUUGCAAGAUCCGAUAGCGCUUUCACUACUAAACGUUGAAAUGUCGAAGGCGCAUUUUUAAGCCCGAAUGUCAUAGAUAAAAACUCAUACAGGCCAUCGGGUGUCAUAAACGCAGUAUACUCAAUUGAAUUCGCAUUUAAAGGAAUUUCGUAAUAGCCACUAGCCAUAUCUAAACAUUUAAAAUUAAUAAGCUCCUCGAAGUCUAUUUAUUUUAUCCUGUAUAAGUGGCAGCGACUGUGUAUAUUAUCAGCGACUGUGUUUAAAUUUAACUCUCUAUACACAAUGUCUAUCCGAACCAUUUUAAUUUAUUUACCAGCAAUAUGGGGCUUGCAUAAGGUGAACAGCUGGCUCAAGUUUAAAGAACUGUUUAUCCAUCGCUUUGACACUAUAUAAACACCAGCCGCCAUGUUUCUAAAUAUAUUAUAUAUAUGUCGGCGCAUACUUUUGUAAGCUGGUGGAUGUGCUAGAAUAUUUCUCAAGAAUAAUAUUGUAUUGUGUGUUAGAAUAUUCCAGAAGUACAGUAAUUUCAUCAUUUCGGGGAAUUUCAUCAUAUUACAUUAUUGCAUAC